UCGAGUGGCGAACGGGUGAGUAAUGCUUGGGAAUCUGCCCAAUAGUGGGGAACAACUCGGGGAAACUCGGGCUAAUACCGCAUAAUCUCUUCGGAGGAAAGGGGGCCUCUACAUGUAAGCUCUCGCUAAUGGAUGAGCCCAAGUCAGAUUAGCUUGUUGGUAAGGUAACGGCUUACCAAGGCUACGAUCUGUAGCUGGUCUGAGAGGAUGAUCAGCCACACUGGGACUGAGACACGGCCCAGACUCCUACGGGAGGCAGCAGUGGGGAAUAUUGCACAAUGGGCGAAAGCCUGAUGCAGCAAUGCCGCGUGUGUGAAGAAGGCUCUAGGGUUGUAAAGCACUUUCAAUAAGGAAGAAAAGUAUAAAGUUAAUAACUUUAUGCAUUGACUUAACUUAUACAAGAAGCACCGGCUAAUUCCGUGCCAGCAGCCGCGGUAAUACGGAAGGUGCAAGCGUUAAUCGGAAUUACUGGGCGUAAAGCGCGCGUAGGCUGUUAUCUAAGUCGAAUGUGAAAUCCUCGGGCUCAACCUGGGAACUGCAUCCGAAACUGGAUAACUAGAGUAUGGGAGAGGUAAGUAGAAUUUCCGGUGUAGCGGUGAAAUGCGUAGAUAUCGGAAGGAAUACCAGUGGCGAAGGCGGCUUACUGGACCAAUACUGACGCUAAGGUGCGAAAGCGUGGGGAGCGAACAGGAUUAGAUACCCUGGUAGUCCACGCCGUAAACGAUGAGAACUAGAUGUUGGGAGGGUUAGCCUCUCAGUGUCGCAGCUAACGCAUUAAGUUCUCCGCCUGGGA
rnacentral:rRNA from 1 species